rnacentral:ncRNA from 1 species
AUCACAUCCAGGCGCGACGGUCCCCGCCCGCGGGUGGGGCCAUGAGGGAACCCGGUGGGAAUCCGGGGCUGCCCCCGCAACUGUCAGCGAGGAGUUGCCGCCCACAUCUGCCACUGACGACCCGGAAGACCGGGGAGCCGGGAAGGCGGGCGGCCGCGACGAUCCGCGAGCCAGGAGACCUGCCGUCGCGCGCGGAACCCAC